rnacentral:rRNA from 1 species
AUGAGUUUGAACUUUGAUGAAGGAAAUGAAAAGAAAGGGCUGUGCAACCUUGUUUUUCCUAGUCCAAGAAUAUGGUGUGAUGGUGUACUGUUUAAUGAAGAUGAACAAUGGGUGGUCGGACCCUUCCCCGGACCCUGCGCAAACGAUGAUCAUGACAUGGAUCUGUUCGGCGAUGAGACAAAGGAGGACAAUAAAGUAGCAGCUGAGCGUGCAGCUGCCAAGCCUGCAAAGAAGAAAGAAAGUGGCAAGUCCUCUGUCCUCAUGGACAUCAGGCCAUGGAACGAUCAGACUGACAUGAAGAAGUUGGAGGAGGCUGUCUGCAGUGUUCAAAUGGAGGGUCUCACCUGGGGUGCAUCUAAGCUUAUGCCUGUGGGUUACGGCAUCAAGAAGCUCCAGUUCGAUAAAUUUUACACACUGAUCAUCGACGACCUCGUGUGUGUCGAGACUCUUAUUGAGGAAGUGCUCUGCGAGGUCGCCGGGUCGCAGGUGGCUCUUAUCUGA